rnacentral:ncRNA from 1 species
AUAAAGUUUUAUUCUAGCUUGAAAUUUUAAUUUUUAGAUUAUUUUAUAUGUGAAUUUUAGUGUUUUAUAGGUUUACUUUAUAUAGGUAAAUUUGAUACAUAUUUAUUUAUAAGGCCGCAAUAUUGAAGAUUGAAAAUAAAAGAAAUUUUGAUUUAGGGAUUUAUAAUAGUAUUGACUAAGUUUGUGCCAGCAGUUGCGGUUACACAUACAAUGCAAUUAAAUUUGUUCAGUAUAUAAUAAGUUAUUUUUAUUUUUAGAAAAAGUUAUAUUUAUUAGGUGAAAUUAGUAAGUAUGAUUAAAUUUGUAGAUUAAAAAAUGAGGUUAUGAGGUUUCUGUAAUAAACUAGGAUUAGAUACCCUAUUAUUGGAAAUGCAAAUAUUAGAUGCUAGAGUAGUAGUAGUUAUGUUCUUGAAAUUUAAAGGAUUUGGCGGUAUUCUAGUCUACUCAGAGGAACCUGUCCUAUAAUUGAUGAUCCACGAUUAAUUGUACUUAUUUUAAAUGUUUAUAUAUCGUCGUAGGUGGAAUGUUUUUGGAGAAUUGGUAAUGUUCAAAAUUUAUAUGAAUAAAGGAAAUCAGAUCAAGAUAUAGCGUAUAGAUAAGAAGAGAUGGGUUACAAUAAAAAGAUUUAAAUGGUUGGAAUAAUUAACAUUAUUUUAUAAAGUGGAUUUGAAAGUAAUAUAAUUAAGUUUAAUUAUAUGAGUAUAGCUCUGGAAUAUGUACAUAUCGCCCGUCGCUCCCUCCCCAAGGGGGGAUAAGUCGUAACAUAGUAGGUGUACUGGAAAGUGUACCUAGAAUGAC